rnacentral:misc_RNA from 1 species
GAAAUGCGAUAUUUAGUGCGAAUUGCAGAAUUCAGUGAAUCAUCAAAAUUUUGAACGCAAGUUGCGCUCUUGGGAUAUUCCUGGGAGCAUGCCUCUUUCAGUGUCGGGUCAACAUACCAUCAUCUCUGAUGACGAUGACGGUGUACUGCGCGUUUACUCUAACGGUGAAUGUGUUAAAUACUACGCACUGCUGGUUUCGGUCUUUUUGGCUCGACGCGCAUUUCGUACUUGGACAGUUUCUGUUCGGCGUGCAAUUGUCGUCUAUGUGGUCAUCCAGUCCGGCUCCAUCAAAAGCAGCGCUUCUGUCGUGCAGCCCUGCGCUUUCGACAACAACUCAAAACAAUGACCUGAGAGAGGUAAGAUUACCCGCUUGACUUAA